CUACAGGAAAAGGACUUUUCCCUUUGUAAUUAAGAAAGCCAGCCAAAGCUCACAAAUAAUUGGGAUUAGCAAUGUCCAUCAAUGAUGUUUCAAGUUACCUGAGCAAGAAAAAUCCAGCGAUCACGGAAGCCAAGACUCAGAACCAUGAAGCCAGUGUUGCUCAUUUACUUUGACAAGCGUAAUUCAGGUUCAAUUUAUUUAUGGUUAAACUCCCAUGGCACUGUAACCAGAUACCCCGGCUGGCAGGAGGGCGGAGGAGUGAGGAAAGGUGCCCACUUUCCUUUGGUUUUCUCUUACCUCUUCCUGAUUUUUUUCUUUUGACCCUAGCAUCUCUUUCCAUCUUUAAAUUCAGAUUCACAAAAUGGUUGCUCCCAGGGCUACACAAGAUUGCAAAACACUCUGCCUUGGAUUCACUUCUCCAUUUUGCUUUCAUUUCAAGAGAACAUAGAUAAUAGCAUUGUGAUAUUUCUUGGAGAAGGUCUAUAUUUAUUCUAACCAUUUUCUCAUUGCUUAAAAUAUUUUGAAGCUCCCUUUUCAAAAGUUGAUUUUGAGCCAGGUUUAGAGUGAGCUACAAAGAUGCAAAAACGUCAGUGUUGGUAAGUUUAUAACGGGAUGUUUGUGAAGCCUGGCAAUGUCGCCAGCACAGCAUAGGAGCAUAAACGAGCCUCUGCGGUUUCUCUGUAGGUCAAGGUGAAAGCCCUCGGUCACAGUCUCUGUGCACAUCUCUCCAGACUGUUAAUUUUGCUCUACUGACCCUUACCAAUGAAAACGUGGGCCUGUUUCAGCUGAUUCACUGGCAUCUCAGUCCACCUCUCUCCCUCACUGUACCAACAAACCACCAAGUACCCCGUGUCCCUCUGUCCUGCUUUAUCGGUGUCAGCUGAAACCUCAGGGAAGCAGCUGCCCAGAGGGAACUAGACAUGCAAGAGAAGUGAUAGGGGAGGCACUGGCGAGGGAAAAGGGCGGGAGUGGCCCUGACACUGGCAGGAUUGGGCAGGAAGAGUCCCCGAGGGCAGCACUGUUCUGAGAAAGCCCUGCCAGGCCAGGGGCAGCCACCAAGCAGAAGCCUUUAGUCAGAGGAGUCUCAGAAAGAGGAGGCGCUGCUCGGGGUUGCGUGUUCACCGGGGAACAGCCAGGGAGAGUGUGGACACCCACGGGGAGGUUCUGGGCUACCAGUGGAGGAUGGCUGUGCUAUGGGUCCCUUGGAAGGAGUGCUGAGGACACCUGCAGGCCACCAGCCCCCCUGCACCACACACAGCCCCUUGCAGCGUGUGUUCGGGGAGCAGCUCCCCCUUCGUUUCUUGAGCCUCUCAUCUUGGAAGAUACUUAGAAGAGGGGCAGUAGGACUAACCACGAGCCCUGGUGCUGCCACUGGCUGGGACCGCCAGGGGUUUGCUCCCGUUCCCCACCUUCCUCCUGAGAGCCCUGAGCCUGGAGGACCACACCCUCCUCAGGACCCUCACUCAUGGGGGAGGAGCCAAGCGGAGCUGGCUUUCACACACUCCUCCUGGACCCAGUGCAAACCAGCCUGUCCUCGGCUGGGGAUCGAGGUCAGUGAAUCCCUCCAAACAGAAACAAUUUGUCCCACUCCUGUCCCCAGACACAGGCAUCAAAGGAUCCUGGUGGCAGCUGUGACUUGUGGCACACGGGGACUCCUGGUGAUACCCCUCGUAGGAUCUGAACUUCCAGCCCUACAGAGUCCAGAGUUGCAGGGACAGGAAGCCCAGUGGGUCACUGCCGUGACAGUGACUGGGGCCAUUCCCGCCUCCACCCUGUGGCCCCUGGGCUCACGUGGGCGUCCUUGGGAGCAGGGCCACAGUGCCUGCAUGGUGCCUACGUGGUGCCUAUGCUGUGACUGAGGUUGCUCUCCUCAUCCUUGUCCGUGUCACCUGGGGCUGCAGCCCUGUCCCCGCCUGACCAUUCCGGCCCUGGGUGAGACCGCCUUUCUGGAGGUGAGACCAGAAGACGCUCAUCAUGGCUCCUCUCAGGCCUCCUGGCCAGGGUCCUUUCUCCAUGUUGCUCCAUGGGGAUCACAUGCCUGGGGGCCCUGAUACUGCUCUGUGGGCAGCAAACACCCCUGGUGUAGGAGUCUGUUCUUGUGGGUCCUCCAGGAGAUAAGGGACUUUACUUGCUUCCGAAUAGAUGGCUGGUCCCCUCAGGGAGCAGCGCCAUAUCGGAGGCUCAGCUUGGCCUCAAUUACUGGCUGAUUGGAGACUCAGGGGUGGCUGUGUGUCAUUGGGAGCGUGUGCAGUCAAUCUCCUGUCUGGUCCUCCUCCCUGACACUCUGGCUGCUCCAUUCAUGUGUCCUUUGGGGUUCCAGGAUGGCUGGGGCACCGUUGUGUACACUGAGCUGUUGCAGGUGUCCUCCAUGGUAGGUGUUCCCUGGUGGAAACUAAUGUAUGACACAGAACACCUCGUGCCCACUCCCACGGGUCCAACGGCUUGCCUCUACCAGGGCCUUUCCUGUAACCCUUUUGCCGCUGAGCCCUCCCCUACUGGCCGCACCACUGACCCUGGAAUCUGCACUUACCCUCAGCUCAGUCUGCUCCUCCUCCUACACAAUAGGAUGAACACGUGCCUUGCCCCCAGUCCUGCCCUCUCCGCUGUCAUUCAGGGCUGUCUGUGAACACGAUGUAAUGUGGCUGCCGGACAUUUUCAAUUACCCCCUUAGAAUGAGCAUCUGGCAAUCAAGUUUGGAAUUCCCCAUCUUCUUACACUGGCCCUAUGGGACCUCCCUCUCCCAUACAGACAUAGGUGUCAGUUGAUAAGGAGUGCUGGUGUGCCCUCGCAGGUAGCCUCGUGUAGGAACAUCUGCUCGGCCAGCCUCCUCCUGCCUCCCGAAUCUGCCUGGGCUCGUCUGAUACACCAGCUGAUGGGCUGAUGCUGAGCCAUCCAACUUUGUGACCUGGUGGACCCCCAGAUCCAGAUCAUAGCGGGCAGUUCCAGAGGGUCAACUGGUACCUCAAGGUCGAGUGAUUGACCUUGGAGAGUCUGCUUCUCCAAGGAUGCAUAGUCCCUGCUGUAGCUGGCUCUGCGGCAGUCCCCAGUGCCUACAUAGGAAUUGUCCCCUGAGCUGGAUGUGACCACAUCACACCUCCUCCCCCCAUUGACACCACAGCCUGCAGCCACUUCUCUGGGAGGAGACCCCAGUGGCCACCACCAGGCUGGAGCAGCACCUCCCUCCUCCCCGUAGCCUUGGGGCCUUCCUGCAGACUCUUUCCCGACAGUCAGGCAGCCUGAGCUCUCGGCCCAGAUCAUGCUGAUUGUAAGUUAAAUUGUGUCCCUUAAAGAACAUGUGGAAGCCCUUCCUCUGUGUCUGUGAGUGUCACUUAUUUGGUGGUUUUGUUUUGUGGUAUUUGUUUUGUUUUGCUCCUGGUGCCGAGGACGGGACCCAGGCCUGCAGCCUGCUGAGGGCUGUCACGACCACUGAACUGUAUCCCCUGCCCCUCGUAUUGGGAGAUGGCCUUUCAGAGGUGGUCAUGGUAAGAGGAGGUCGUACUUGAUGGCAGUGGAUUUAAUCCAGU
rnacentral:lncRNA from 1 species